AGCGCCUCCACCUUUUCCAGUCAGGAGCCCUGGGACCGUGGCUACAGGCUCACAGAGCAGCCCAGAGGCUCCCUGACGGGCUAAGCUCACCUGAGCUGCUGUGACUCAGCCCACCCCUGGUAACGGUGGAUUGAAGAGCUCAGUGCAUCUGCAGUGACUUGUUCAUUCUACCGUGGCAGCAUGUGGCGGCUGCUGUCCCCGACAGCCCUGCUCCUUCUGGUUUCUGCUGGCACGCGAGCUGCAGACCUCUCGAAGGCCAUGGUGGUCCUAGAACCUGAAUGGAACAGGGUACUCUUUUUGGACAGUGUGAUUCUGAGGUGCCAGGGGGCCUACCCCCCUGGGGACAAUUCCGCACAGUGGUGGCACAACGAGAGCGUCAUCCCCCAUCGGGCCCCCAGCUACUCCAUCAAAGCUGCCAGAAGUGAAGACAGUGGCGAGUAUAAGUGCCAGACGGGCCUCUCCGAAGCCAGCGACCCGGUUCAGCUAGAAGUGCAUAUUGGCUGGCUGCUGCUUCAGGCCCCCCGCUGGGUGUUCCAGGAGGGAGACACCAUCCAGCUGAGGUGCCACAGCUGGAAGAACAAGACUGUACAGAAGGUUCAAUAUUUCCAGAACGGAAGGGGCAAGAUGUUUUUUCAUAAUAAUUCCGACUUCUACAUUCCAAAAGCAACGAGCAAACACAGUGGCUCCUACUUCUGCAGGGGGCUUAUCGGGAAUAAAAAUGAGUCGUCAGAGGCUGUGAACAUCACGGUUCAAGGUCCGCCAGUUCCCUCCACCUCAACGUUCCUUCCACAUUGGUACCAAAUCGCUUUCUUCCUGGUGACAGCACUCCUGUUUGUAGUGGACACAGGGCUGCAUGUGGCUGUGCAGAGAGACCUUCAAAGCUCCGUGAAGGAGUGGAAGGACGGCAAAGUCACGUGGAGCCAGGGCCCGUAGGACAAACAGGGGCGAUAAAAUCAGCACCCCCGAACCUCUCUCUGGAUUCACAACCCCGUCGUCCCCGACAGGCAGCUCUGGGGGCAGCGUCCAGGCUGAGGGUCCCUCACCCCAUUCCAUUUGCUCUCGGUCUCCGCUGGGAAGGCAGGGCUGGCGACCUUCAGGUGCCCACAGUGACGCCCCAGUGAGUAGCCGCAUCCCUCAGAACUGAAGUCUCAGAGCCACACAGAUGCUCUCUCUGCACGACUGCCCUGUCACAGCAACGCGACAAUGCAGAAUCUGGACGGUGACCCAACAUGCGAACGUUGUUCUUAAAUAACCGAAUGUGUGGGCGGACCUCCUGCUAGGAAACCCAGGGGGGGCGAGGGACGAGGGGCGAGCGAGAACCUGGCCACGCGGAGGAUGCCCCGCGGCUUCCGGGAAGAACACCCACGCCCGCGGUUCAAAACAGUCAGGCCCCGUCCCUGGGUGGGCUCGAACCACCAACCUUUCGGUUAACAGCCGAACGCGCUAACCGAUUGCGCCACAGAGACAGGCGGAAGCCAGGGCCUCUGCCAACCCAAUUCACCGAAGGAAAAAAAACUCGGCCGCGCUUUCUGCUUCGCCCCGAAGAGGUGCUCGGGGCUGGCGUGGGAACCCGCGGGGCGGUCCCCUUCGGGCGCGCCGGGUGGCACCAGCCAAGCAGGCCUUUCCCCCGCGCUGCGGAGGCACCUGCCUAGACCUGGGACAGGCCUCGGUGCGCACCCAGAUGAUGCUGAGAAGCCGCAGCAGCCCAGCUCCUUCGGGAGUCCAAAACGAAGUCUCUCCGUGCGCUCGCGAGUUCACUGGGCUUUGCUCCGGGAGGUACAGUCGACUUUCCUGCUGAUCUGGACGAUUUAUGCGCUCGUGCCUGGGCGAGUGGUAACUCACAAUCAGCUUGCUCUUGUGAAUGUUUAAAAUACCGUAUCACGUGUCCAAUCACGCCCGGCGAAAUGUAACGUCUAAGCAAGGAAGCCCAGUAGAACAAGACUAAUCUCCAAGCCCAGCGGUUUUUGAAAGGUUGCUACUCGUGCAUUAGGCACCGGGACAGAACACAGAGUUUGUAACUGCCUGUAAUUUAAAGACUCUCACACUGGCAAAUCCAGAUCUAAAUAUCUGAGGGCAGAGAUCCCUCAUCCAACAUCACCAGCACAGGGAUCCUGGUCAGUGCCUGGCCUCUUCUCUGCAGCCUGGAGGGAAGCUUCUCUCUUGUUCUUGGGUCAUUUCGCAGCCGCAGGCUUCCUGAGUCACAUCACCUCCGCCCCUGGCCCCCCGAACCCCUCUACCAAGCCACACCUCUGACGCACCCAGGCACCCACAGGCAGCCCUUCUCUGUGGUGCCAAGUCCCCACCCUCCGCCCAGAACCUUCUCUUCCUUCUACACCUCUGCGCCCUACUCAGUGGAUUCCAGUUUGGGUGCAGGUCGGUGUCCAAUGCUCUUCAGAGAAUGAGAAUACACAAUGCCCAUAUAGGCCCAAAUUUGUGUGUGUGUGUGUGUGUGUGUGUGUAUCUCAGAGAAGUUUGCCAAAAGAACUCUAUAUUGAGAUUACCUUUUUUUACACUUUUAAGUUUGUUUUAAAAUGUUCUUUGUUUUAUACAAAGCAGUGUCUGCGGUUGUUUUAUUAAUUUCCUAAUUCGGCAAAAUAAAAAGC